rnacentral:rRNA from 1 species
GAUGAACGCUGGCGGCGUGCUUAACACAUGCAAGUCGAACGAAGCACUUUGAUUUCUUCGGAAUGAUUGGUGACUGAGUGGCGGACGGGUGAGUAACGCGUGGGUAACCUGCCUCACACAGGGGGAUAACAGUUAGAAAUGACUGCUAAUACCGCAUAAGACCACAGUACCGCAUGGUACAGUGAUAAAAACUCCGGUGGUGUGAGAUGGACCCGCGUCUGAUUAGCUAGUUGGUGGGGUAACGGCUCACCAAGGCGACGAUCAGUAGCCGACCUGAGAGGGUGACCGGCCACAUUGGGACUGAGACACGGCCCAAACUCCUACGGGAGGCAGCAAUGGGGAAUAUUGGGCAAUGGGCGAAAGCCUGACCCAGCGACGCCGCGUGCGGGAAGAAGGUCUUCGGAUUGUAAACCGCUUUUAUUAGGGACGAAAACUGACGGUACCUAAUGAAUAAGCCACGGCUAACUACGUGCCAGCCGCCGCGGUAACAC